rnacentral:rRNA from 2 species
ACGGAAGGCAGCAGUGGGGAAUAUUGGACAAUGGAGGCAACUCUGAUCCAGCGACGCCGCGUGAGUGAAGAAGUAUUUCGGUAUGUAAAGCUCUAUCAGCAGGGAAGAUGAUGACGGUACCUGACUAAGAAGCCCCGGCUAACUACGUGCCAGCAGCCGCGGUAAUACGUAGGGGGCAAGCGUUAUCCGGAUUUACUGGGUGUAAAGGGAGCGUAGGCGGCCAGACAAGUCAGGUGUGAAAACCCGGGGCUUAACCCCGGGACUGCACUUGAAACUGCCUGGCUGGAGUGCAGGAGAGGCAAGUGGAAUUCCUAGUGUAGCGGUGAAAUGCGUAGAUAUUAGGAGGAACACCAGUGGCGAAGGCGGCUUACUGGACUGUAACUGACGUUGAGGCUCGAAAGCGUGGGGAGCAAACAGGAUUAGAUACCCUGGUA